rnacentral:rRNA from 1 species
AUUGAACGCUGGCGGCAUGCCUUACACAUGCAAGUCGAACGGUAACGCGGGGCAACCUGGCGACGAGUGGCGAACGGGUGAGUAACGCAUCGGAACGUGCCCAGUAGUGGGGGAUAGCCCGGCGAAAGCCGGAUUAAUACCGCAUACGACCUACGGGUGAAAGCGGGGGACCGUAAGGCCUCGCGCUAUUGGAGCGGCCGAUGUCAGAUUAGGUAGUUGGUGGGGUAAAAGCCUACCAAGCCGACGAUCUGUAGCUGGUCUGAGAGGACGACCAGCCACACUGGAACUGAGACACGGCCCGGACUCCUACGGGAGGCAGCAGUGGGGAAUUUUGGACAGUGGGCGCAAGCCUAAUCCAGCCAUGCCGCGUGCGGGAAGAAGGCCUUCGGGUUGUAAACCGCUUUUGUCAGGGAAGAAACGCUCUGGGCUAAUACCCCGGGGUAAUGACGGUACCGGAAGAAUAAGCACCGGCUAACUACGUGCCAGCCGCCGCCGUAACAC